rnacentral:rRNA from 1 species
GACCUCAAGGGGAUAAGACAACCCGCUAGACUUAAGCAUAUUAAUCAGCGGAGGAAAAGAAACUAACUAGGAUUCCCUCAGUAACUGCGAGUGAACCGGGAUGAGCUCAAUGUGUGAAUCUGAUGGGAUUAGUACCCCAUUCGAGUUGUGCACUAUAGACGCUGCAUCUGCGCAUGGAUUGUACGGGCGGACGUCCGAUGAAACACGGCAUUAUAGAGGGUCAUAAUCCCGUCCUUGCCUAUGGUACUUGAUCCGCGCUAAUGAUCGGUGUUCUGCGAGUCGUGUAGUUUUGUAAUGCUGCACCAAUUGGGAGGUAGAGCCCUUCUAAAGCUAAAUAUGAUGAUGUGACCGAUAGCACACAAGUACCGUGAGGGAAAGGUGAAAAGCAACCAUGCAGAAUGGGUUGAAAGAGCAGUGAAAGUGCUACCGGGAUAAGGGCUGUCGAUGA